rnacentral:rRNA from 1 species
AUUGAACGCUGGCGGCAGGCCUAACACAUGCAAGUCGAACGGUAGCACAGAGAGCUUGCUCUCGGGUGACGAGUGGCGGACGGGUGAGUAAUGUCUGGGAAACUGCCCGAUGGAGGGGGAUAACUACUGGAAACGGUAGCUAAUACCGCAUAACGUCGCAAGACCAAAGUGGGGACCUUCGGGCCUCACACCAUCGGAUGUGCCCAGAUGGGACUAGCUAGUAGGUGGGGUAAUGGCUCACCUAGGCGACGAUCCCUAGCUGGUCUGAGAGGAUGACCAGCCACACUGGAACUGAGACACGGUCCAGACUCCUACGGGAGGCAGCAGUGGGGAAUAUUGCACAAUGGGCGCAAGCCUGAUGCAGCCAUGCCGCGUGUAUGAAGAAGGCCUUCGGGUUGUAAAGUACUUUCAGCGGGGAGGAAGGCGGUGAAGUUAAUAACUUCACCGAUUGACGUUACCCGCAGAAGAAGCACCGGCUAACUCCGUGCCAGCAGCCGCAGUAA